rnacentral:rRNA from 1 species
UUAAGCGACUAAGCGUACACGGUGGAUGCCCUGGCAGUCAGAGGCGAUGAAGGACGUGCUAAUCUGCGAUAAGCGUCGGUAAGGUGAUAUGAACCGUUAUAACCGGCGAUUUCCGAAUGGGGAAACCCAGUGUGAUUCGUCACACUAUCAUUAACUGAAUCCAUAGGUUAAUGAGGCGAACCGGGGGAACUGAAACAUCUAAGUACCCCGAGGAAAAGAAAUCAACCGAGAUUCCCCCAGUAGCGGCGAGCGAACGGGGAGCAGCCCAGAGCCUGAAUCAGUGUGUGUGUUAGUGGAAGCGUCUGGAAAGGCGUGCGAUACAGGGUGACAGCCCCGUACACAAAAAUGCACAUGCUGUGAGCUCGAUGAGUAGGGCGGGACACGUGGUAUCCUGUCUGAAUAUGGGGGGACCAUCCUCCAAGGCUAAAUACUCCUGACUGACCGAUAGUGAACCAGUACCGUGAGGGAAAGGCGAAAAGAACCCCGGCGAGGGGAGUGAAAAAGAACCUGAAACCGUGUACGUACAAGCAGUGGGAGCACAGAGCAAUCUGUGUGACUGCGUACCUUUUGUAUAAUGGGUCAGCGACUUAUAUUCUGUAGCAAGGUUAACCGAAUAGGGGAGCCGAAGGGAAACCGAGUCUUAACUGGGCGUUAAGUUGCAGGGUAUAGACCCGAAACCCGGUGAUCUAGCCAUGGGCAGGUUGAAGGUUGGGUAACACUAACUGGAGGACCGAACCGACUAAUGUUGAAAAAUUAGCGGAUGACUUGUGGCUGGGGGUGAAAGGCCAAUCAAACCGGGAGAUAGCUGGUUCUCCCCGAAAGCUAUUUAGGUAGCGCCUCGUGAAUUCAUCUCCGGGGUAGAGCACUGUUUCGGCAAGGGGGUCAUCCCGACUUACCAACCCGAUGCAAACUGCGAAUACCGGAGAAUGUUAUCACGGGAGACACACGGCGGGUGCUAACGUCCGUCGUGAAGAGGGAAACAACCCAGACCGCCAGCUAAGGUCCCAAAGUCAUGGUUAAGUGGGAAACGAUGUGGGAAGGCCCAGACAGCCAGGAUGUUGGCUUAGAAGCAGCCAUCAUUUAAAGAAAGCGUAAUAGCUCACUGGUCGAGUCGGCCUGCGCGGAAGAUGUAACGGGGCUAAACCAUGCACCGAAGCUGCGGCAGCGACGCUUAUGCGUUGUUGGGUAGGGGAGCGUUCUGUAAGCCUGCGAAGGUGUGCUGUGAGGCAUGCUGGAGGUAUCAGAAGUGCGAAUGCUGACAUAAGUAACGAUAAAGCGGGUGAAAAGCCCGCUCGCCGGAAGACCAAGGGUUCCUGUCCAACGUUAAUCGGGGCAGGGUGAGUCGACCCCUAAGGCGAGGCCGAAAGGCGUAGUCGAUGGGAAACAGGUUAAUAUUCCUGUACUUGGUGUUACUGCGAAGGGGGGACGGAGAAGGCUAUGUUGGCCGGGCGACGGUUGUCCCGGUUUAAGCGUGUAGGCUGGUUUUCCAGGCAAAUCCGGAAAAUCAAGGCUGAGGCGUGAUGACGAGGCACUACGGUGCUGAAGCAACAAAUGCCCUGCUUCCAGGAAAAGCCUCUAAGCAUCAGGUAACAUCAAAUCGUACCCCAAACCGACACAGGUGGUCAGGUAGAGAAUACCAAGGCGCUUGAGAGAACUCGGGUGAAGGAACUAGGCAAAAUGGUGCCGUAACUUCGGGAGAAGGCACGCUGAUAUGUAGGUGAAGUCCCUCGCGGAUGGAGCUGAAAUCAGUCGAAGAUACCAGCUGGCUGCAACUGUUUAUUAAAAACACAGCACUGUGCAAACACGAAAGUGGACGUAUACGGUGUGACGCCUGCCCGGUGCCGGAAGGUUAAUUGAUGGGGUCAGCGCAAGCGAAGCUCUUGAUCGAAGCCCCGGUAAACGGCGGCCGUAACUAUAACGGUCCUAAGGUAGCGAAAUUCCUUGUCGGGUAAGUUCCGACCUGCACGAAUGGCGUAAUGAUGGCCAGGCUGUCUCCACCCGAGACUCAGUGAAAUUGAACUCGCUGUGAAGAUGCAGUGUACCCGCGGCAAGACGGAAAGACCCCGUGAACCUUUACUAUAGCUUGACACUGAACAUUGAGCCUUGAUGUGUAGGAUAGGUGGGAGGCUUUGAAGUGUGGACGCCAGUCUGCAUGGAGCCGACCUUGAAAUACCACCCUUUAAUGUUUGAUGUUCUAACGUUGACCCGUAAUCCGGGUUGCGGACAGUGUCUGGUGGGUAGUUUGACUGGGGCGGUCUCCUCCUAAAGAGUAACGGAGGAGCACGAAGGUUGGCUAAUCCUGGUCGGACAUCAGGAGGUUAGUGCAAUGGCAUAAGCCAGCUUGACUGCGAGCGUGACGGCGCGAGCAGGUGCGAAAGCAGGUCAUAGUGAUCCGGUGGUUCUGAAUGGAAGGGCCAUCGCUCAACGGAUAAAAGGUACUCCGGGGAUAACAGGCUGAUACCGCCCAAGAGUUCAUAUCGACGGCGGUGUUUGGCACCUCGAUGUCGGCUCAUCACAUCCUGGGGCUGAAGUAGGUCCCAAGGGUAUGGCUGUUCGCCAUUUAAAGUGGUACGCGAGCUGGGUUUAGAACGUCGUGAGACAGUUCGGUCCCUAUCUGCCGUGGGCGCUGGAGAAUUGAGGGGGGCUGCUCCUAGUACGAGAGGACCGGAGUGGACGCAUCACUGGUGUUCGGGUUGUCAUGCCAAUGGCACUGCCCGGUAGCUAAAUGCGGAAGAGAUAAGUGCUGAAAGCAUCUAAGCACGAAACUUGCCCCGAGAUGAGUUCUCCCUGACUCCUUGAGAGUCCUGAAGGAACGUUGAAGACGACGACGUUGAUAGGCCGGGUGUGUAAGCGCAGCGAUGCGUUGAGCUAACCGGUACUAAUGAACCGUGAGGCUUAACCU